rnacentral:sRNA from 1 species
CUCCGCCCCAGGGCUCCGGGCUCCCGGCGCUCUAACGGCGCCCCCUCGUGUGGCUACAGGAACCCGGACAACGACAUCCGCCCGUGGUGCUUCGUGCUGAACCGCGACCGGCUGAGCUGGGAGUACUGCGACCUGGCACAGUGCCAGACCCCAACCCAGGCGGCGCCUCCGACCCCGGUGUCCCCUAGGCUUCAUGUCCCACUCAUGCCCGCGCAGCCGGCACCGCUGAAGCCUCAGCCCGCGACCCGGACCCCGCCUCAGUCCCAGACCCCGGGAGGUUAGGAAGUGGGGGGGGGGAAGGAGGAGCCGAGAGGGCGCCGGGCGAGCUAGAUUCCGGCCAGCCGGCCGCGGGCUCCCCGUCCUCAGCCCCUGCUCCUCCACAGCCUUGCCGGCGAAGCGGGAGCAGCCGCCUUCCCUGACCAGGAACGGCCCACUGAGCUGCGGGCAGCGGCUCCGCAAGAGUCUGUCUUCGAUGACCCGCGUCGUUGGCGGGCUGGUGGCGCUACGCGGGGCGCACCCCUACAUCGCCGCGCUGUACUGGGGCCACAGUUUCUGCGCCGGCAGCCUCAUCGCCCCCUGCUGGGUGCUGACGGCCGCUCACUGCCUGCAGGACCGGCGAGUACCCGCCCGCCCAGAGCAGCCCCAGGGGCCGCGGCUCCUCCGUCUCCCAGCGCAGCUUCCACGCUGCACCCGAACCCGUGCCCUACCUUCUCCCGCCCCACCCUUCUUUCCACGCCCCUCCGGAGCUCCCGGGGAGGAAGCUGGAACACGGGAUUGGGGUUCGGGAGCAGGGGGCUUCCCCAGAACGCUUGUGGCCAGGUCUGAGAGCGCUGCCUCUCCCCUACCCCCCCGCAGACCCGCACCCGAGGAUCUGACGGUGGUGCUCGGCCAGGAACGCCAUAACCACAGCUGUGAGCAGUGCCAGACGUUGGCCGUGCGCUCCUACCGCUUGCACGAGGCCUUCUCGCCCGUCAGCUACCAGCACGACCUGGCUCUGUUGCGCCUUCAGGAGGAUGCGGACGGCAGCUGCGCGCUCCUGUCGCCUUACGUUCAGCCGGUGUGCCUGCCAAGCGGCGCCGCGCGACCCUCCGAGACCACGCUCUGCCAGGUGGCCGGCUGGGGCCACCAGUUCGAGGGGGCGGAGGAAUAUGCCAGCUUCCUGCAGGAGGCGCAGGUACCCUUCCUCUCCCUGGAGCGCUGCUCAGCCCCGGACGUGCACGGAUCCUCCAUCCUCCCCGGCAUGCUCUGCGCAGGGUUCCUCGAGGGCGGCACCGAUGCGUGCCAGGGUGAUUCCGGAGGCCCGCUGGUGUGUGAGGACCAAGCUGCAGAGCGCCGGCUCACCCUGCAAGGCAUCAUCAGCUGGGGAUCGGGCUGUGGUGACCGCAACAAGCCAGGCGUCUACACCGAUGUGGCCUACUACCUGGCCUGGAUCCGGGAGCACACCGUUUCCUGAUUGCUCAGGGACUCAUCUUUCCCUCCUUGGUGAUUCCGCAGUGAGAGAGUGGCUGGGGCAUGGAAGGCAAGAUUGUGUCCCAUUCCCCCAGUGCGGCCAGCUCCGCGCCAGGAUGGCGCA